rnacentral:rRNA from 1 species
AUGCCUCCCCUGUUAGUCCGGCGGAUUCAAUGGUGGCUCCAGGUGCGGAUUCUAUGGUUCUUUACUGUAAAAUUCAGAUUAAGCGUCGGGAGUGCACCGCAAGACAGAACGCCAUGUCCAUCCAGGAUGAGUGUGUUGGAGCAGUCAAUUUACAAGUACGCAGAUGAACCAACGAAGAGUGUGCUGGAAAUUGGUUUUGGGAUAAGGUACGGAAACAACCAGAACAGAGCUAUGGAGGUGGCGAUCAGCAAGGUUUACCCAGACAGUGUACACUGUUGGUGCAAGUGGCACAUUCUAAAGAACGCUAAGGAGAGCCCAGCGAUGCACAAUUUCGAUAGGAAGUACAUGAGGUUGCAGAUUGACCAUGAGCGUGAGGAAAGCUAUGAGGAGAAGAGGACCAUGAUCGUAAAUUCCCAAUUCUUUGUCAUGUGGUGUCCAAAGCUGAAUUUGUUGUUAAGAGAUUUAGUUGUUAGUUUGAAAUUGAGGUCGGAGAAGAUACAGUUUGAACACCUUGUUCUGGCAUAG